GAUGAACGCUGGCGGCGUGCCUAAUACAUGCAAGUCGAGCGAACAGACGAGGAGCUUGCUCCUCUGACGUUAGCGGCGGACGGGUGAGUAACACGUGGAUAACCUACCUAUAAGACUGGGAUAACUUCGGGAAACCGGAGCUAAUACCGGAUAAUAUAUUGAACCGCAUGGUUCAAUAGUGAAAGACGGUUUUGCUGUCACUUAUAGAUGGAUCCGCGCCGCAUUAGCUAGUUGGUAAGGUAACGGCUUACCAAGGCAACGAUGCGUAGCCGACCUGAGAGGGUGAUCGGCCACACUGGAACUGAGACACGGUCCAGACUCCUACGGGAGGCAGCAGUAGGGAAUCUUCCGCAAUGGGCGAAAGCUUGACGGAGCAACGCCGCGUGAGUGAUGAAGGUCUUCGGAUCGUAAAACUCUGUUAUUAGGGAAGAACAAAUGCGUAAGUAACUAUGCACGUCUUGACGGUACCUAAUCAGAAAGCCACGGCUAACUACG
rnacentral:rRNA from 1 species